rnacentral:rRNA from 1 species
AGUGAACGCUGGCGGUAGGCCUAACACGUGCAAGUCGAACGGCAGCACAGGAGAGCUUGCUCUCUGGGUGGCGAGUGGCGGACGGGUGAGGAAUACAUCGGAAUCUACUCUGUCGGGGGGGAUAACGUAGGGAAACUUACGCUAAUACCGCAUACGACCUACGGGUGAAAGCAGGGGAUCUUCGGACCUUGCGCGAUUGAAUGAGCCGAUGUCGGAUUAGCUAGUUGGCGGGGUAAAGGCCCACCAAGGCGACGAUCCGUAGCUGGUCUGAGAGGAUGAUCAGCCACACUGGAACUGAGACACGGUCCAGCCUCCUACGGGAGGCAGCAGUGGGGAAUAUUGGACAAUGGGCGCAAGCCUGAUCCAGCCAUACCGCGUGGGUGAAGAAGGCCUUCGGGUUGUAAAGCCCUUUUGUUGGGAAAGAAAUCCAGCUGGCUAAUACCCGGUUGGGAUGACGGUACCCAAAGAAUAAGCACCGGCUAACUUCGUGCCAGCCGCCGCGGUAA